rnacentral:rRNA from 1 species
AACGAACGCUGGCGGCGUGGAUAAGACAUGCAAGUCGAACGGGACAAUCUUGUAGCAAUACCGGGUUGUUCAGUGGCGAACGGGUGCGUAACACGUGGAUAACAUACCGGAAAGCGAGGAAUAGCCCAGGGAAACUUGGAUUAAUACCUCAUGUGGUCGCAAGACUAAAGGCGGGGCAACCUGUCGCUUUCUGAUUGGUCCGCGGCCUAUCAGCUAGUUGGCGGGGUAACGGCCCACCAAGGCGACGACGGGUAGCUGGUCUGAGAGGAUGACCAGCCACACUGGAACUGAGACACGGUCCAGACACCUACGGGUGGCAGCAGUCGAGAAUCAUUCACAAUGGGGGAAACCCUGAUGGUGCGACGCCGCGUGGAGGAUAAGGUCUUCGGAUUGUAAACUCCUGUCAUGCGAGAGCAAGAUCUGUGCGGGUAACUCCGCUGGAUUUGAUAGUAUCGCAAGAGGAAGAGACGGCUAACUCUGUGCCAGCAGCCG